AUUGAACGCUGGCGGCAGGCCUAACACAUGCAAGUCGAGCGGAUGAAGGGAGCUUGCUCCUGGAUUCAGCGGCGGACGGGUGAGUAAUGCCUAGGAAUCUGCCUGGUAGUGGGGGAUAACGUCCGGAAACGGGCGCUAAUACCGCAUACGUCCUGAGGGAGAAAGUGGGGGAUCUUCGGACCUCACGCUAUCGGAUGAGCCUAGGUCGGAUUAGCUAGUUGGUGGGGUAAAGGCCUACCAAGGCGACGGUCCGUAACUGGUCUGAGAGGAUGAUCAGUCACACUGGAACUGAGACACGGUCCAGACUCCUACGGGAGGCAGCAGUGGGGAAUAUUGGACAAUGGGCGAAAGCCUGAUCCAGCCAUGCCGCGUGUGUGAAGAAGGUCUUCGGAUUGUAAAGCACUUUAAGUUGGGAGGAAGGGCAGUAAGUUAAUACCUUGCUGUUUUGACGUUACCAACAGAAUAAGCACCGGCUAACUUCGUG
rnacentral:rRNA from 1 species